CCGACCUUCGCUCAGUUGGUAGACCGGAGGACUGUAGUAGACACAGAUUAUCCUUAGGUCACUGGUUCGAAUUCUGUAGGUCAGA